rnacentral:rRNA from 1 species
AACGAACGCUGGCGGCGUGCCUAACACAUGCAAGUCGAACGGAUUUGAGGGGCUUGCUCCUCAAGUUAGUGGCGCACGGGUGAGUAACGCGUGGAUAAUCUGCCUGAUGCUCUGGGAUAACAUCUCGAAAGGGGUGCUAAUACCGGAUAAGCCCACGGACUCUUCGGAGUUUGCGGGAAAAGGAGGGGACCUUCGGGCCUUCCGACAUCAGAUGAGUCCGCGUCCCAUUAGCUAGUUGGUGGGGUAAAGGCCUACCAAGGCGACGAUGGGUGUGUGGUCAGAGUGGAUGAUCAGCCACACUGGAACUGAGAAACGGUCCAGACUCCUACGGGAGGCAGCAGUGGGGAAUUUUGCGCAAGGGGGGAAUCCCUGACGCAGCAACGCCGCGUGAGUGAUGAAGGCCUUUGGGUCGUAAAGCUCUGUCAGAGGGAAAGAAAUGCGGGGCACUAAUAAUGUUUCCGCUUGACGGUACCCUCAAAGGAAGCACCGGCUAACUCCGUGCCAGCCGCCGCCGUAACAC